rnacentral:tRNA from 11 species
GCUCACAUAGCUCAGUCGGUAGAGCGUCACCUUGGUAAGGUGGAGGUCGUCGGUUCAAUCCCGAUUGUGAGCUCCA